AGAGAGAAAGCUUAUAGGACUGUUCAUUAAAGUUAGAUAAGGCAGAUAUAAAGCAAUGUUAUGAAUUUUAAGUCAAUUUUAAUGUUGAAAUGAUGGUAAUUCUGUAAAUCUGGCCAUCUAAAAUGUUGACAAUUUGUAAUGACUUUGCUUGAGAAUGUGGUAUCUGAUGUUUCCUAUACUUCUGCAAUUAUAUUGUCCAGGAUCCCAUAAGAAGUCACAAUUGAAAUUGGCUAAUCAUACAAUACAUCAGAGAAAGCUGAUAUGUGUGCAAGCACAUAUUUUAUGGAACAUUAUUAAUAUUUUUCUAUCAUAGAUAGACCAGUAUAUACAAUAGUAACAUGCAGAUGUAUAAUAUAGAGCCUUUGACAAAUGAUUCAGUGAUACGAGUUCAAAUUCCAACAAAUGGGUACUCCAGUGACAGAGCUAGUGUAGCUGCCGCCUCACAGUACUAGCAAUUGACGUGCAACUACUGCACAUUUUCCCUGUGACUCUCUGGGUUUCUUUCAAGUGCUCUUCCUCUAUCCCCACAUUCCAAAGACAUCUGUGUUGAUAGGUUAAUUGGGAUUAUAUUUAACCUUCGUGUAUUAGAAUCUGGGGAGGGGGGAGAUAGCACCACAGUUUGUAAGACAAAAUAGAGGAAUAGAGCGGCACAGUGAGCAGGCAUAGAUUCAAUAGGUUAAAUGACCUCCUAUGUUACAAGGAAGUAUGAAAAAAAUGACAGGUGGCAAGUUUUAAUUUAGGCAAGUGAGCUAAUUGAAUAAAACACCUAGUAUUGAAAAGAUAGGAUUGUUAUAGGCAAUAGGCAUCUGAGCUAUUAGUGUCUUUUAUGGGAAGAAUAUGCUAUCGUUACCUGGUUUAUUCUACUUAAGACUCCAGACCACAGUGUGUAGUCCCUGCUGCUCCAGGGCAUGGCUUAAUUCCAGGACAUACAGGAAUGGACAAAAAUGUUGGCCUUAACUGUGUUUCCUGCAUUCUAUGUUGUAUUUUGAUGACUUCUAGCUCUCUGAAUUGAUCUAACAGAAAGAGGUAAAUUUAGAAAUUGUCUUAACGACAAUUUAAAGAGUAGUAAACUACAUAGAUACAGAUUUAGCAUGAUGAACAUUUUUUGAGUUGUUGAAUUUUCUGGUAAAUUUCUGAAAGCUUUAUAUUCGAAUAUACACAAAAUGCUGGAGGAGAUCAGCAGGUCAGGCAGCAUCUAUGGGAAUGAGUAACCAUUUUGGGCCAAAGACUCUUCAUUAGUCCUGAUGAAGGGUCUCAGCCCAAAACUUUGACUGUUUAUUCACUUGAUCUGAAAAAUUGUGAUAUAUUUUGUUUUCUGCAAAGCAUAGGAUAAUAUUUUGUAUGAGAAUUAUUUGAAGUUCAAUCUCAUCACUGGUGUUGUCAUGAGAUUAUGCUCAGCCUUUGCUCAACCUGUUUAUAAAGUAAUAUUUUCAAAAAUAUCUAGUUACAAAGUGUCUUAGUGAUACCGUUCUUGUCCAAACUAUAUAAUAAGAAGCAAAUUGAAGAGGACCUCAGCAGGUAAGACAGCAUCUGAGGAAAGAAAGGGACUGUUGACAUUUGAGGUUGGAACCUUCACCUGGAAUGAAGGAUAGAGCCAGUGUAAAGAGAGAAGGAUAGUGGGUGGAGCAAAGGGCUGGCCAGCGUUCGGUGAAUCCAGGUGAGGAAGGGUUGAUAUACAGAUUGGGACUGGAGAGUGGAAGUAGCAACAGAGCCUGAAAGGUGAUUGGUGAAGACAACAAAGAGCUGCAGUUGAUGGAAUUGGAUAGAAAAGGAAGCAUGGAACCAAUUGAGGGAUGUGGCAUGGGUAGGUGGGAACAGCAACAGGAGGAGACGUGGUGUGAAGAGUAUGUAAGUAAUUGGUAGAUCAAGUGGGUGGGAGAGGGGGAAGAAAGAGUGUGAGAAAGACUGAGGUAGCUUUUGGAUGAACUGGCUGAUCAGGAGAGAGAAAAGGGAGAGAAAUGUAUACUGAUUUCUGGUUACACUAAACCAUGAAUGCCUUUUCCUUUUUUGCUUACUAAUUUUAAUGGUCUUUCAUUAAAGAGAAAGGCCCCAGAUUGAUCUCAGGUGCCUGAGAAUUGAAUUAUAAAUAAAAGAAUCUUGGUUUUUGGUAUCCCUUGUUUGGAAACAAGAAAUAGCAACAUCUUGCAAACAACCAAGGGGGCUACAUGAAGAAGCAAAUUAGAUAGGCCUAGAAAGGUCAACUUAGAGAAUGUCUCUAAAUUAAAUGAUGAGUGAAGAAUAAGAGAACCAUUCAAUCUAGUUCAAAGCAAUUUUGGAAUAGGUGUCAAGAUGAUUUUUCAAGUAAUGAAUAAGCAGCAGUUUGAAUAAUAUUUGCAGGGAGAGAAUUCUAGAGUUAUUUAAGAAACAUGCUGUGAUGAUGGAAAUAGUCUUUUUUCUGCAUGAACAAGCUAAAGUGAGCCAAAUAAUAAAUAACAAAGUCUGGAUGGAUAGAGCUGUUUAGUCCAGAGUGUGGAAGUCCAACAGGUGAUCUGAAGUGGUUUUAAAAUUACUGUAGGUAAUGAAGCCAUUACUAGUUAUGUGUGGAUCUAAAUCUAAAGAUCAUCAAUGUAAGGUAGUUGCUUAAAAAUAUAAACUGAACUCAGGAGAAGUAUAUUCUUCCAAAGGGUUAUGAAAAUGUAGAGCAUAAAAUAGCUGAAAUGAAUAACACCGAUGCACUUAAGAGUAAAUUAGUCAACAAAUUGAGGAAUGGAAGGACGUAUGGAAACAGGGAGAUGAAGCAAAAUAGAUGGAAAUUUUUGUACAGCAUUAAAAUCCAGCUAGAUAUUUGGGCUGAAUAGUCCAUUGCCCUGUUGGUAUGAUGCAACUCCUUAUGUAGACUACGUCAGCUGCAAUUGCCUUGAUAUUUCCAACAAAAUAUAUAUUGUGGAGGACUGCAAGUGUUGACUCCUAGAAUAAAAGUACUUUUUGGGUGUAACCAAUUAAAGGAUUCAUACCCAAUUGAUUCAUUUGCUCUGGGUCUUCUGUAGAAGAUUCUGGUCCCUAGAGUUCUAGAAAAGACAAAUUAUUUUUUUAACCUUCUGUAGUUGCUAGCUUACUAACAAGUUGCAGAAAUAAUGUGUAUUGGAUCAUGCAAAUGUGAUUUGUUUGGCUAUUAAUUACAUAGAAAACACUUAAUUUUCAAUAAUAAAGAAACUUUCAACAAAUUGAUAGUACCUUUGUUCCACUCUAAAAUGAUUCAUUGACACACACACUUUUCUGCUACCCACAGCAUUGAGUGCUCCAGAUUAAGGCUGGAGUGCUGGAAUUCCAUUGAAAUUCCACUGGGCUCUUGUCAAACUCAUGCAUGAGGCAAGCAGAACUGUCAAAGAAAUACUGGAGGAACACAAUGUACAGUAGAGGCUUGUUUCCUUGGAGAUAGGUCAUAGAUCAACUAUAAUCACAAAACAUGAUGGAAGAGGCUCGAGGGAAUGAAAUGACUUGCUCCUGUUUCACUAUUCAAUCCUUUGAAUCCAUUGGAAAAGAACAUUUAUGGAUGUUACAAGAUUCUUCAAAAAUGUUUCCAUUAUAUAAAUAUUGUGUUGUGGUCCUACUUCAGAUGUAAUUUGACACCUUCAACAAAGGCUUCAAUAAUGUACCUAUACAAAAGCUGAUUAUCAUUUAAUUGUUCAGCCAUAAUUGCUAUAUUGUUCUUUUGGGAUUGUGAAAAUGUUUCACUUUUCCUCCUCUGAGAGUUCAGUCAUGUUACUCUGAGGCCCCAUAUGCAGAAGCAGUCCUCUGUUGCUCUGCCUAACAGCGACCCUUCGUGUUAUAGUCCAUGAUGACAACUUCAACCAGACCAACGCUUGCUCUUACCAAUGGUCUUCUGUUUCCAUUUUCUACCAAGGGUCAUGAAAUUUGUUUUGAUUUUGGUUUCUCACCUCUUCACAAGGAAUGUUGAGGACAGAUCCCUCUGUGUCAAAUUGACUUGAGCUGAUAAAGUCCAUGAGUUGACAUUAAAAUGGCCAUGUGAUGGAGCUGUCUUCACAACUUUUACUUUUGGUGCUUUUGGUUGAUGGACUGAAAGGAGAUUAGUAGAAUAAAUUUUCUCUUCUGAUCUUAACUGCUGUCACAAAUGGCGAUAAUUUGAACUUACAGGGGCAAUC